rnacentral:rRNA from 1 species
AGAGUUUGAUCAUGGCUCAGAGUGAACGCUGGCGGCAGGCCUAACACAUGCAAGUCGAACGGCAGCACAGCAGGGGCAACCCUGUGGGUGGCGAGUGGCGGACGGGUGAGGAAUACAUGGGAAUCUGCCCUGUCGUGGGGGAUAACGUAGGGAAACUUACGCUAAUACCGCAUACGACCGGAAGGUGAAAGCGGCGGACCGCAAGGCGUCGCGCGACUGGAUGAGCCCAUGUCGGAUUAGCUAGUUGGCGGGGUAAAGGCCCACCAAGGCGACGAUCCGUAGCUGGUCUGAGGGGAUGAUCAGCCACACUGGAACUGAGACACGGUCCAGACUCCUACGGGAGGCAGCAGUGGGGAAUAUUGGACAAUGGGCGCAAGCCUGAUCCAGCCAUGCCGCGUGAGUGAAGAAGGCCUUCGGGUUGUAAAGCUCUUUUGUCCGGAAAGAAAAGCUCUCGGUUAAUACCCGGGGGUCCUGACGGUACCGGAAGAAUAAGCACCGGC